GUUUGAAAUGAGUGGCUGUUGUACUAUAUAUUUUAUACACUAUUUUAACAUAGGAUAUCACUUGUAUAUAGUAUUCUGCAUUUGUAUUUCUUUAUUAUGCAGAUUUCUCAGUAGCAACGUUCACCGUUCGAUCAUUGUCACGGUAUUACCAGUUCAGGUAUCACCUAUCUGACUGAAAUUAAGUACGUACAUUCGUACUGAUUAUAAAAUAAACGUCAUCAGCCUCACCCC